rnacentral:rRNA from 1 species
UAAGGAAUAUUGGUCAAUGGACGCAAGUCUGAACCAGCCAUGCCGCGUGAAGGAUUAAGGCCCUCUGGGUUGUAAACUUCUUUUAUAGGGGAAGAAAUGUGACGGUUCUCCGUCACUUGACGGUACCCUGGGAAUAAGCACCGGCUAACUCCGUGCCAGCAGCCGCGGUAAUACGUAGGGGGCAAGCGUUGUCCGGAUUUACUGGGUGUAAAGGGCGCGCAGGCGGGAUAAAAAGUCAGUGGUGAAAUCCUACAGCUUAACUGUAGAACUGCCUUUGAUACUUUUAUUCUUGAGUUCGGGAGAGAGAGACGGAAUUCCAGGUGUAGUGGUGAAAUACGUAGAUAUCUGGAAGAACACCAGUUGCGAAGGCGGUCUCUUGGUCCGACACUGACGCUGAGGCGCGAAAGCGUGGGGAGCAAACA